AGCUCCAAUAGCGUAUAUUUAAGUUGUUGCAGUUAAAAAGCUCGUAGUUGGAUUUUGGGUUAGGGUGUCCGGUCCGCCGUUUCGGUGUGCACUGGGCGCUCUUUCCUUUCUGCCGGGGACCGUUGGGCGUCUUAAUUGCCGUCCCUCGGGAGUCGGCGUUGUUACUUUGAAAAAAUUAGAGUGUUCAAAGCAAGCCAUCGCUCUGAAUACAUUAGCAUGGAAUAACAUGAUAGGACUCCGCUCUUAUUUUGUUGGUUUCCGAGACUGGAGUAAUGAUUAAGAGGGACAGUCGGGGGCAUCCGUAUUUCAUUGUCAGAGGUGAAAUUCUUGGAUUUAUGAAAGACGAACUUCUGCGAAAGCAUUUGCCAAGGAUGUUUUCAUUAAUCAAGAACGAAAGUAG
rnacentral:rRNA from 1 species